rnacentral:lncRNA from 1 species
ACUCCAAUAAUUGUUGGACUUAUAUUGACUAAAAUAUGCGUAGAUCUACAUGUAUCUAUACUUGGAGAUUCUUAGUACCAGGCGUUUAUUCAAGCCCAGCCUUUAUUUGAACAUUUACGGUACAUACACUAGAACUCAUGAGAACUGUCUGCAUUCUCUCUAUUUCUCUUUAUGGCUGACAUUGAUGAUUCUGUGACCGAGGAGGACAGGUCGUGUUUGUUGGUUUCUUGAUUGGUGGUCUAUUCUGGAGAAUUAUUGCUGACAUCAUUGGACAUAAAAGGGUGCUAUUAAUAGUAACAGUUCUCAUUAUUUUUGUUUGGUCUUGCAAGUGCAGCUGCUCCUAAUUAUGGCAGUUUGUUGUUGUUUCGUUGUCUGGCAGGCUUUGGUAUCGGAGGAACAGCUCAGACAGUUACGCACUACACUGAGUUCUUGCCUAAGAAACUCCGUGGGGCCUGUCUGGUACUGAUAGAGGUCUGGCGGGCUAUAGGGAGCUGUUUGGCAGCAUUGCUAGCACUGGGGGUCAUUCCUAAUGUUCCUGAUCCUAUCGAUGUCUCCAAUGGGGAUUUUGAGAACAUUAACUGGAGGAUCUACAUAGCACUCUGUGCUUUACCAUAGUAAAGUGAAGUUUUUUACCAUACUGUGUUUUUCAUAUUUGUUCCUGAGUCAGCAAGAUUCCAUAUUUCAAAAGGACACAAUCAAAAAGGACAAAGAGUCAUAGAAAGCAUUGCCAGAAUUAACUUGAAACCUCCACCAAAGGGCCGGCUUGUUUCUCAAGAUGAAAAAGAGAUGAUAGAAGAAGAGAAGAAGGCAGCAGCUGAUCCUGAACACACUAACAAUGAGCCAAUACUAGGAGCAGACUAAUACAUGAAAACCUGUAAAGCAAAAUGAAAAGGGAUACCAAAGUGGAUGCUUCUUAUGAGAAUGCAGCUGCUGGAUUAGUAUAAACAUCCUAAAGGAAUAAUAGGAAAAAAAUCCUGAUUCAAGUGAAGUGGAAUAAUGUUAAUGGGCCUUAAUGUACUUUCAGUUAGACCAUAUGCUACAUAAAAUGGCUGUAACUUGAAAAAUUUUAGUCGGAAUCAGUGCAAACUUUCUACACAGCAUAAGGACAU